rnacentral:rRNA from 1 species
CCUACGGGAGGCAGCAGUGGGGAAUAUUGGACAAUGGGGGAAACCCUGAUCCAGCGACGCCGCGUGAGUGAAGAAGUAUUUCGGUUUGUAAAGCUCUUUCAGCAGGAAAGAAAAUGACGGUACCUGACUAAGAAUCCCCGGCUAACUACGAGCUAGCAGCCGCGGUAAUACGUAGGGGGCAAGCGUUAUCCGGAUGUACUGGGUGUAAAGGGAGCGUAGACGGGGCGCCAAGUCAGAAGGGAAAUGCCGCGGCUUAACUGCGAAACUGCAUUUGAAACUGGCGAACUUGAGUGCGGGAGGGGUAAGCGGAAUUCCGUGUGUAGCGGUGAAAUGCGUAGAUAUAAGGAGGAACACCAGUGGCGAAGGCGGAUUGCUGGACCGUAACUGACGCUGAGGCUCGAAAGCGUGGGGAGCAAACAGGAUUAGAUACCCGUGUAGUC